CGGGUGCUGUCCUUCCCGUGACGAGGUUAAAUUCCGGUGGCCUUAAGCAACUCCGAGGGAGCUGGCUCUGGCAGGAUCCUGGUUCUGCUACCUGGUGCCCACCUGUAUACACAGGUCCUCGGGAAUUCAUCACCUCAACGGUCGCGUACGGGCCCGCC
rnacentral:sRNA from 1 species